rnacentral:rRNA from 1 species
AGUGAACGCUGGCGGUAGGCCUAACACAUGCAAGUCGAACGGCAGCACAGUAAGAGCUUGCUCUUACGGGUGGCGAGUGGCGGACGGGUGAGGAAUACAUCGGAAUCUACUUUUUCGUGGGGGAUAACGUAGGGAAACUUACGCUAAUACCGCAUACGACCUACGGGUGAAAUCAGGGGAUCUUCGGACCUUGCGCGAUUGAAUGAGCCGAUGUCGGAUUAGCUAGUUGGCGGGGUAAAGGCCCACCAAGGCGACGCUCCGUAGCUGGUCUGAGAGGAUGAUCAGCCACACUGGAACUGAGACACGGUCCAGACUCCUACGGGAGGCAGCAGUGGGGAAUAUUGGACAAUGGGCGCAAGCCUGAUCCAGCCAUACCGCGUGAGUGAAGAAGGCCUUCGGGUUGUAAAGCCCUUUUGUUGGGAAAGAAAAGCAGCAGGUUAAUACCCCGCUGUUCUGACGGUACCCAAAGAAUAAGCACCGGCUAACUUCGUG